GAGGCCCCUAGGAAUCAGAUUGGCUGGAGCAGCCUGAGUAGCAGCUGUUCUAGCCAGUAAGACCGAAAGAAGAAGUUACAGCCAAGGGAGGAGGUGCUGGAGGAAGCUCCCUGCUCUGAAGGUUCCCCUGGCUGCUACACCCACAUCCUUCACAGGCAGAAGCUGCAACAUCUCCAACAUUUCCAUCUGCAUAGAAAAAGUCAAGUAUAUAAUUGUUUGAUUUCCAGCUGUCGUGGGAACACAGUGAAGGAACACUCUGGAUACUUUCCUCAAACCCUGAUCAUCCAAGCAUUGUAUAGCAGAAAGCACAUCAGCUAACAUUGCCUUGGCUGGGAAAUGACUCAGAAGCUCUCGUGGGGAAAAAGGCAAGCAGCUUGGGAGAAGAAAACUGAGGGUGGGAGUGGAACAAAGAAUGUACAGGUGGUGUUUCCAUAACAAUUCUAGCAUCGUGUAUCCAUUCUGAUCAAGAGGCCAGCUGCUCUCCUGUCUCAGGAGUGACCUGACUUCUACGUGCCUUUCCCCCAGAUGUUGGACUGAGUUCUGAAGCUGGCCUGCAUCAAGUGUUGCUUAAAAUAUCCAGUGUGACUCAGUCUGUUGAAAAGACAUAUGGGACAAUAAACAGUAAUGAACUGGCUUGUGCGUGUAUACCACUGCACACUGUAAGAAAAGAAGCACGCUGAGCAGAAUUUGUUUCUGUGCAUGAUAUACUUAAAAGCUAAUUGAGAUGUUUCUUUAGCUUGCAUAAAGCCCAGCAUUUAGAGGAGGAGGAUCAAUAUGAAUUCUUUCCAUUGCUGCUCUGCCAAUAGCCUGAUCCAAUGAAUGGUUACUAAAUAGUCCCACUGAGCAGUGCUUAAAUUAUGGGGAGAAUUAUGUGGCAGUGGUGGGACCUUCAUGAAAUUCAUAAGCUGAACAAAAGGUAGGGGGGCUGUUCCCCCUCUGUAAUUCAAGCACUGCUGUUGAGCUCAGUGGGAUUACUCCCUCCCAAGAAAGUGCACAUAGGACUGCAGCCUUAUUGUGAGAGGAGAAGCAUGAAGGCUCAUCCAUGAACUCUAUUAAAGGCCUGGACUCCGUUUAUAUGGUUGGCAGGAGUGAUAGGAACAUAGGAAGGUUGCAGGCCUUCCUCAGCCCUAUCUUGGAGAUGCCAGGGAGGGAACUUAGAACCUAGAUGCUCUUCCCAGAACAGCUCCAUCCCCUGAGGGGAAUAUCUUACAGUGCUCAUACUUCUAGUCUCCCAUUCAUAUGCAGCCAGGGUGGACCCUGCUUAGCUAAGGGGACAAGUCAUGUUUGCUACCACAAGAACAGAUCUUCUCUCCCUUUAGUCCAGGCCUUUAACAGAGUUCAAGGAUGAGCCUUCAUCUCUUCUCGACUGAAGGAGUCCCUCAUGGAGUUGCAGGUGGAGAGUUUGCAUGUUUGAAUGCUCCCUUGUUUUUUUUAAAAAAGGCAUGUUACAGAGAAGACUAGACUAAUUCCUAUCCCUGAUAUUCUAAUUUUCUACUAUCAUGAGCCUUGGAGGAGCAUUCAAAUAUGCAGCAUUCUCAUCCCAGCCAUGACCUGGAAUGAAACAAUUCGCAGAUGCUUUACUACUUAAUUCUACUGAACGUAUAUUAUAAACUGCCCCUCAAUGGAGUCUCCUUUGGCCUCACACUGACAGGAAAAUAACAGUUUGGGACAUGCCACAUUGCGUGGAGUGAAGUGGAGCUAUUGGUACUGGUUCCAAUGUUGGUCAUUUUGCUAUAUCUCAGAGCUGUAAUAUCUGAACAUGAAAUAAAUUUGAAUUUUUUAAUAAUUAU